AGUAACGCGUGGGUAACCUGCCUUAUACAGGGGGAUAACAGUCAGAAAUGGCUGCUAAUACCGCAUAAGCGCACAGAGCUGCAUGGCUCAGUGUGAAAAACUCCGGUGGUAUAAGAUGGACCCGCGUUGGAUUAGCUAGUUGGUGGGGUAACGGCCCACCAAGGCGACGAUCCAUAGCCGGCCUGAGAGGGUGAACGGCCACAUUGGGACUGAGACACGGCCCAGACUCCUACGGGAGGCAGCAUG
rnacentral:rRNA from 1 species